CCACCCACCCCCUCCCUUGCCUUCAUCGCUCCUGAGAUGCUGACCCCCUGUUUGUCCCAGCCCUCGAAAUCCUAGAAACCCGCUGCGCCUCUCUGCUCGAGCUCCACCGUGCGAGGCGAUAGGCAAGGCGGCGGGCGGAAUCUUCUUCAACACCGAGCCGGCGAGCCGCGGAAGCAAGGAUCUUUUUUGCCCGUCAAGGUGCACGCACGCGGCAGACCCACUGCGCAGCCGCCCAGUGUUCCUCUUCAUCGUCAUUGUCCUUGGGCCAAGGCUGAGGAGCCACCUCAACGUCGCCAUCGACCACCUCAUCCUCUACCUCCGGCCACUGCGACGCCAUCGAUGGAUUCGUCGUCUUCACUGCACCCCCGGCCUUCUUGAGCUCGUCCCAGAACCGCGAUACCUCAUCUAAAGCCUCCUGAGUACAAAAGAUCAAGAUUAUCCAGGAACAGGAGAACAGUGAACCGUCCUUAUGGUGGUGUUCUAUCUGGUCAGGAUGUUAGGGAGAGGAUCAUCCGUGCUUUCCUUGUAGAAGAGCAAAAGAUUGUGAAGAAGGUUUUGAACAUCCAGAAGACCAAGGAGAAGCAGCUAUAAGGACAGAGAAUUACAGAGAGUGUGCUCUGUUUUAUGUAUGUA